rnacentral:tRNA from 1 species
GGCCUCGUAGCUCAGUUGGCUAGAGCGUUGGCUGUACUAAAGUCUUCCCCUUCUGGCGUGAGUUCGAAUCCCCCUGAGGCCG